rnacentral:rRNA from 1 species
UACGUAGGUGGCUAGCGUUGUUCGGAAUUACUGGGCGUAAAGGGCGCGUAGGCGGUUGGAUAAGUCAGCUGUGAAAACCACGGGCUUAACUCGUGGCCUGCAGUUGAGACUGUCUGGCUUGAGUGUGGGAGAGGAGAGUGGAAUUCUUGGUGUAGCGGUGAAAUGCGUAGAUAUCAGGAGGAACACCGGUGGCGAAGGCGGCUCUCUGGACCACAACUGACGCUGAGGCGCGAAAGCUAGGGGAGCAAACAGG